UGGGGAACUUUGGACAAUGGGCGCAAGCCUGAUCCAGCCAUGCCGCGUGCGGGAAGAAGGCCUUCGGGUUGUAAACCGCUUUUGUCAGGGAAGAAAUCUUCUGAGUUAAUACCUCGGGAGGAUGACGGUACCUGAAGAAUAAGCACCGGCUAACUACGUGCCAGCAGCCGCGGUAAUACGUAGGGUGCAAGCGUUAAUCGGAAUUACUGGGCGUAAAGCGUGCGCAGGCGGUUUUGUAAGACAGAGGUGAAAUCCCCGGGCUCAACCUGGGAACUGCCUUUGUGACUGCAAGGCUUGAGUGCGGCAGAGGGGGGAUGGAAUUCCGCGUGUAGCAGUGAAAUGCGUAGAUAUGCGGAGGAACACCGAUGGCGAAGGCAAUCCCCUGGGCCUGCACUGACGCUCAUGCACGAAAGCGUGGGGAGCAAACAGGAUUAGAUACCCUGGUAGUCCACGCCCU
rnacentral:rRNA from 1 species